UCAAGUACUAGCGCACAGAUGCUCUGCACGGUUAAGCUAGUAUAUUAUAUUGCUUGUAUACAUUCUUAUUCAGUGAUGGGAAGUAACAAGGAUGAAGGAUUUUCAAUCAGCCAUUUGGGGCUUUUCAUUAUGGAAGAGAAUUCCACUGUUGUAGAGAAACCAGUAUUAUGUAUGUAUGUUUGUUUGUUUGUAGAUUUAAUAUACCAUCCAAUCCACAGACUCAGGGCGGUGUACAAACAAGAACAGCAUCCGAGAUUUUUGGGGGGGGGGAUUAAAGGGCAAAUGCCUGGCGGAAAAGAAGUGUCUUCAAUAAGGUUUUAAAGGCUGAAAGGGAGGAGGCAGACCAAAUCUGGGGAGGAAGAGAAUUCCAAAGUGAAGGGACGGCAACAGAGGAAGCCCUUCCACGGGCACUAGUACUAUGGAGCUCUCUGACACCAGGGACUGAAAGAAGUGCAACCUGUGAAGAUCUCACAGGAUGGGACAGGACUGGCCGGGAGACGUGGUCCUGAAGUUAAACAGGUGCUAAGUUCUGAAGGGUUUUAAAGGUAAGAACCAGCACCAACACAGACCCGGAAACAAAUAGGUAACCAGUGCAGCGAUUGCAUGAGAGAUGUCACACUAUCAUAUCUCCUAGUGCCCAUAAGCAGGUGGGCCGCCGCAUUCUGGACCAACUGGAGCUUCUGGGUCGUCUUCAAAGGCAACCCCAGGUAGAGCGCAUUACAGUAAUCCAGACAAGAGAUGACGAGGGCAUGAGUUACCAUUGCCAGGGCCUGCUUGGCAAAAUGAUGACUCUUUUCUGUUGGUUAAAGCACAGUAGUCUUAAUGGGGUGAGCAAUAGGCCUGUUCCCUGGCAACGGAUAGGCCUGUGCCCUGGCAACAGAUGAGAAAAAGCACAGGAGGUUCUGGGAGGGGUGGGUGAGGAAGUGCAGACCUUUCCCUAUAGAGCUCUAUGGGGAAAACACUUCCCAAAGCACCUGAUGUACCUUCCCAGCCUCUGCUGGGGCACAGGGCUCUGCUUCCCAUAAAGAACACACACACACACACACACAUUGAAAGGACACAGUAUUAAGUGGAUAUGGCUGUUCUUGGAGUGGCUGACUGCCUUAGCAUGGUUUCAAAAGGUUGGUAUAACUUAUUAAGUUAUUCAGAUAUUCUGAAAUGCACCCCUAGUGAGCAAUAUACUUAUUAUAUUGUAAGCCACCUUGAACAUUCAGGUGAGUUCUGCCAUAACAGGGAGGACUCUUGACAGUUGGAACUCAGACAAAAUCCCUCCUGUGCUGGCGGAACUCUGUUAGAGUUCCAACAUGCCCGUCAAACCCAAAUUAAAUGGCCCUCACCACUGAGAGGUACAGUUCAGGCCAUUUUGAAAGUAAAAUGGCAAGUCCAGUAGUUCUCAACUGGAAGGCAGACUGGCUACCAUUUGGUUGGCUGCUAUGUAUGUUAAAGGGGAAACCCCUUUAACCCCUGCUAACUAGGCAAAGAGGCACCUUUUACCAUGGUGAUUCUCUUUAUUUAACGGGGGAGAGUAACUGGCCCUAUCCACCCCCAGCACAGUACUUCCAGUGACUGUUGCUGGUGUCUAUCUUAUGUUUCUUUUUCGAAUGUGAGCCCUUUGGGGACAGGGAUCCAUCUUAUUUAUUUAUUAUUUCUCUGUGUAAACUGCCCUGAGCCAUUUUUUUUGGAAGGGUGGUUGUUGGGGAAUGCUGGAUUUCUGAUUUGACACAACCAUUUUGGGAAGCCAUUUUGGCCCUCCCAACUAUUUCUUCAUUGAGUUGCAGCAGAUCCAAUUUUGUUGUUGUUGCAUAUGUUGUCUCCAGUGCCCAUGUAGGUAAAUGUGAAUGAUUGCAAAGUACCAUACCAUGUAUAGCUUGCUGCUUUACAGCUAUUAAGGUACAUUCUGAACAUUUUGAUCUACACAGAUCAUAGGGCCUUUUCAGCUUUUAAAGCAGUGGGGGCACAGAUUGUUGCAAAAACUGAGGUCAGAGUGGAGGCUUCAGCAAUAAGAAGGGAGAGGGGCUACUUUCAGGCAGUGAUAUUUGGUAUGAUAAUAGAAGUGAUUCAAGCCUGUCCCUGUUUUAAUCUGUGAAAUGCUGGAGGGGCUGUUGAACAUAUCUAUAUGUGUCAUCUAGUUGGCCAUAAGACAACAACUCUGCAGUGUAUUCCUUUACAGAUCCCAGCCAAAUCUCCUGAGAAAUGUGUUUAGGCAGUUAUAAUGGAAUUUAGAAAAUCCAGUAAACUUCAUCAGUUGUCCUGAGAACUGCAGCAGAUAUUAUAUGAAACCAGUUUUUCCCCCUUUUACAAGCAUCCCAAAUGUUGACACUGAAUCAAACAGUGCAUAAACUAUACUUGAGUUUUAAUUAAAAGGAAAACUGAUAAAUUACUAAGAUUCUGGUGUGUGCAAGAUGGCUAUCUGUUAUGCAAACUCAUUUUAGUGUCUAAUGUUCUAUCUCUAACAUAUGAAAUGGUCUCCGGAUUAAUUUUUAUCAUAAAUGGAAAUUAUAUCAUAAAUACUUAUAUAUCAUUAAAAAAAAAUUCCAGUUCUUCCCCAGCAAAUGCAAUUAGAUUAACAAAAUCAUGGCAUUAUAAAGUGUGAGGCUUAGGAAUUGCGGUGACCACUGGAAGUAUGUGAGAAAAUUUUGCAAUUAACAAUUAAUAACAACAAUUAAGAAAUUAAGGAAGAAAUUGCUUGUGUGUUGUUUUUAAGUUUAAGCAAAAAUGACUAUCAGUCCUUGAAAGGUUAACUGUCAGAUUAAGUAAUAGGGAUGCAGACUGGCCAAUGGCUACCCGGGGGCAAAUAUUAAGUUUACUCCAGCUCACACAAUUUACAAAAAAAAGAUUAGCUCCCUUGUGUCUCUCGAGAACUUAUGGAGAGCAGGCCUCAUAUUCCACAGCAGGCUUUGAUAACCCAGCAAGCAGCACCAGGCCCUGACUGGUCAUGUGAGAAUCUGAGCUAAUGGUAUACAUUUCCAGUGAUGUAAAAGUAAAUUAGAGAACAGGAAAAGUUAUUACACUGGAGAUUGUAGGACUAUGGGGAAUAAUAAAAAUCAGGUUACCCUAAUUUCCUUUGAACAACUAAAUAUAUACAGGUCAUUACUGCCUUUAAUAGGUAGGCCUCAAAAGUGCAAGACUCAAUUCUGAACUGAAACCUUGGGGGCAAAGGGGGUGGGAUACCCAAGCAACCAAAGGUACUGUCAAAGGGAAAGGCCAGAAAUAAGUUGUGUUUCUGCUUAAAUAAUUAUAAGUGCAAUAUGCCUUUUUGAUAGUAAAUGUAAUACGUAUGAAAUAUUUGUUAGAAAGCUCAGGAGGAGAGAUUUCUUCAUCUACCCCUGCUUCAAUGGAAGUGCACAGGUAAGGGAACACUGCUAAUUAAUAUUGUCUGGAGACAUGGAGUUAAAGUUCCAAAUAAAGUAGUUUAUUUAGGAAAUCCAUCAGGGAGAGAGAUAAGACCUACAUACAUGAACUCUGGUAAAAUGGCUGAAGCCUGUGUAGCACUUCCUAGGUUUGGUGAGAUAUCUUUGUGCCUCACUAUGAUCAGUAAGCUUUUCUAGCAACCAUAAUGAAGAAGGACUCUUUUGGUGUUUAAAGGUAGCCUCUCUGCUUUGACUAUUUGAACAUCAGAGAGUAUCACAAGGUAGUUUAAAGUGGUAGUGUAUCUGCAUGAUUAGCUAAUUGAAAGGACAUGUUACUUCCUCUUAUGGGCUAGCGCCUGGAGUGAUCCUUCUUGCCUGGGCUUUGUUCCCCCCCUGGGUUGACCAUGGGCAUAUCAAGGUUGGAGUGGGCCCUUGGACAAAGAUGAGCCCCACCCACCUUCUUUUAGGGAAUGUGAGGAUGGGAGAAAAGAGCAAGCUGUCACCUUGCUGGUAGGGCUCCCUCCCUCAGGGGCGUAGGAACAUAUAUUCAAUUGUAACUUCGCCCCUGAGGCUGAUUCUGGUAGCUGUUGCUCCUGGAUUCUGCUUAUCAGCCAUGCUUCUAUCUUCCCUGCACCCAUUUUUUCAUUCCUUUAUUGACUACAACAUUUGGGUAUCCAAAAUUGGGAAUGCUUGUACUAAUUGUACUAAUAUAUUGUGUAGAGUCCCCCGCCCCCCGCCGCACGCACACACAGACACACCUUCUGAUAAUUGCUUUACAACAUUUUUUAUUCUUGUCACUGGAGCUCUUCUGGAAGCUAGCUAUUGCUCCACAGGUAUACCAAACUGUGUUCUAACCUACUACCUCACUUUGGAAUUCUUCAGGACUGGAACAAGUGGACAUGCUCAGAAUCUGUAUGUGCUAAUUUCAAGAAAUCGAAACCAGAGGUGUUGAUCUUUUGUGGACAACUGGGAGAACUUCUUCUCCCAUGGCCUAUUUCUCAGGAUAUUUAUUUAUUUAUUUAUUUAUUUAACAUAUUUUCAUACGGGCAGUUUACAACAAAGCAAAACAAACAGAAAAUGUUAAAACAUUAGUUAAAACAAAAUAACAGAAAAGGUUAAAACAUUACAACAAUUUAAUUUUUUAAAAACAGGGUUAAAACAAUUAAAACAAUAUUUAAUUAAAAGCCUGGGUGAACAGAUGCAUCUUUAAAGACUUUUUAAAAGGUGUCAGAGAUGGGGAGGCUCUUAUUUUAGCAGGGAGCUCAUUCCAAAGACUCAGGGCAACCGUGGAGAAGGCCCAACUGCAAGUAGCCACCAGACGAGCCAGUGGCAACUGUAGAUGGACCUCUCCUGAUGAUCUUCAUGGGCAGUGGGGUUCAUAACUAAGAAUUUGUUCUCUUAAAUACCCAGGGCCCAAGCCGUUUAGGGCUUUAUAGAUUAUAACCAGCACCUUGUAUUUUGCCUGGAAACCUAUCGGCAGCCAGUGUAGCUCUUUCAGUAUGGAAGUAACAUAUUUAGAGCAUGCAGAUUCAUUUAAGCAUUGAAGCUCAUCUGACUGCCUUAAUAUUUCAGUUUUCCCACAACCUGGAAAUCUGCCAUUAUUAUACAGCUUGUAUACAAUCUUCCCUUUCUCCUUCCCAAUGCAGGUUCCUGAACUCCUUGAAAAGCUACUCCUUAGAAUCAGAGGAUCCUUGGGAAAGGCAUGAGAUAGAGUGAGAGAGGGGAAUUCCCCCAUACUGGGCACAACCAUCUUUGACUACAUUCAACUAUCCAAUGAGAGUGUAAGUCUAACUAGUGUCAGCAGAAGUUCAUAUGCAGAUAGAAGGCAACUCAUGCCCCCGAGCAUUAAGCCAGUCCCAAAUUAAAGUCAUGUCUCCAGCAUAAAAGUGCUUUGUGCUACCUGCCAGGCCACAAGAUUGGCAAAAAAGUCUCCAGAUGUCCUGUGAUGCUCUUCAUAAGGCCCAAUUCUGCAAUUUCUUGGUGAAAAGGUGCAGUUAAUUUUUUUUCUUUAAAUAUGAGCCACAAAAUGGCUCCUGUGCUCAAAAUGGAAGCCAGAAAUUACCUUGGAGGUCAUUUCAGGCCACCCUGAACCCACAGCUAUAUAGAAUUAACCCCCCCUUUUUUUGCCUGUUCCCCCCGCCCCCACAACAUAUGCUGAGGUUGGGUGUCAAUUACCUGACCGCAGAGACCCGAAAAUAUAAAUGCUGGAUCCAUGAAUGGUGAGGUUCUCCUGUACUAAAAUUUGUUAUGACUAUGAUCUAAACUUGUUUCUAGACCAAGGUCGGUUUCCAGGCCCCAUUUUCUGGGACUUAAAGUACAGCCAGCGAAAGGACUGCUCUGCUGUCCAAACAAAUGUCAGAAGGCAAUGCUAGAUCUGGAGCUUUCAGGCUGCCUAUGGCAGUGAGUUCAGUGAUAUCUGGGAACCUAAGGUGAACAGGACUAUUUGUCACCACUAUCUGUCUUCCAAGAGCAAGACCAUCGCCAGGCAGGAGGAUGACGACGACUGCUGAGAAAGGAAAGGGUUAAACCAGCCCAGCAGCAGCCGUCUUUGAUUGGUCCUCCUUGAGUUGUGCUCCUCUUGUGCUUGGCAAUUCAAUGCAGAGUUGGCAAGGGAGCAGGAAGGGAGCAUGGCCACAAGGAGAGCUGGAAAGGAAAGUCAAACAAACAAACAACUCUUGUCUGUUUUUUCUGUGAACGUGAUUUCUUUCUUCAGAAGCCAACAUGUGUUUUUCUCCCAGAUUCAUGAACCGUAUGUGAAUGUGUGUGUGAGAGAGAUCCCAUCCCCAAUUGAAAACCUCCCUUGGUGUGUCUCUUCCCUAUCCCCAAACCCUUGUUUGUGCUUGUGUGAGAGAUUUUUUAACUUUUAAAAAAUGAUUUUAAAUGAUUGAAUUCUUCCCAAUAAGUCCUGGCCCAUAUGAUCUUCUCCUCAGAACUUGCAAUGAGUUGUUUUUCUCUCUGUGGAAAGGAAAGCAGAAAGUAAGAGAGCAAGAGCGAGGGGGUGGAGUUUAUUGGCUGGUCUGUGGUGGUUAUUAAAUAUAUAUUCGACUGUUUUUCAGCCAAACAAGUUCUCAGAAUUGUAUACAUAGCUAGGUGGCCAGAUUUGGCUUUUUAAAAGCCAAAUUCUGGCUUACGGCCCAUCUGACCCACGAGUAUACCCCUUAGGUUCUGGCCACCCUGAACAUAGCACAGAGAAAGAGAAUUUUAGACUUUUAGAAAAUCAUUUUCAAACUUUUCAGAAGUAUGCACUGAGUUAUUUUCAAUGCUUCUCAUUUCCUAUGUCUGGAAGCUAAGGGCUACCUCUGACCAUGGCUGCUUUUGUUGUCCUUGGUGUACAUAUUUUGCCAGCCCUCAAAAGUCAAGUCCUUUCUUACUUCUCAUGUUGUAUCCAGUCCUUGGAGCAGCUUUGAUCUGUGUGUGCGUGUGAGGGUGAGAGCGAGAGCGAGAGAGUACAAAUGGGCAAAUAGGGAUAGGGACAUUGCGAGGGUUGUAUGCGUGAAUACACAGUAUUCACAGUAGUAGGCAUAUUUGUUAAAAAUGUUUCUGAGCUAAGGGAAUAUGCAUGCACAAGUACUGUAUGUGUGUGAAAGUGUAUGCAUAUAUGAAGAGAGUGUAAUAUAUGCACAGAAGGGAAAGAAAGGGCAUGCUAAGAAUCUUGUUUUUACCAUUUCCUAACAUUUUUUCUGCAAAAAAGGUAUGGGGGGUGGGAGAAACAAAGAAGAUGGAGAGCAAGGGAGCUCAUCUUCAUUUUUUGUCCCUAGGCCCACUCCAACCUUGCUACACCGCUGCCUGCUACAUAUGCUGUUGCACAAGCAGUAGAAAUGUCUCCACUCUGCACGCAAUCCAGAAGUGCUCUGGAAGAAAGGAAAUAUGUCACUGAGGAUCAGUGAGGUAGUUCCUUUCUUCCAGAGUGUUUCUGGGGUGUGGGCAAAAGGAGGACGCUCUUACUGCUUGCACAACACACAGCGUGCAUUCUAGAGGCAUUGGGGGAGUUGCAUGUUUGUGCAGAUGUGUCCCUGCAGUCCCUCUUACAUGUGUGCUUUGGCAGUCAGGAUGUCAGCCACUAAUUAGUUUUCCCUAAUGGGACUAAUAACAGCUUCAGAGUGACUCAGCGUAACAAACCUAUCUCUCUUGUUCAACUGGGGAAACUUCAGAGAGGAAAAUUAUCCUGGAAGAUAAAUGUUAUCCUGUAAUAGAUGGUGUCCUUCAUAUGAGCCAAAUUCUGAUCUCAGUUUAGCCACUAUGAAUCCAGCCAAAGAAAUGAGGUUCCUUGUAGAGCUAUAUGCAACUGUCAUCAAGGUGGAAACAAAUCUUCCCCUAUACCCUAUAUUUACAGUCCAAAAAGCCUCCUUUGCAUGUCCUUUUUGUGUGGGAGAAAAGAAACUUGCAGAGUAAAAAAUGAGAUAUUGGAGGCUCAUCCUUUCCAGGUGUACAUAUGCCAAAUAGUGCUAUGAAGAUGGCAAGCUCCCAGCAUUACAAAAGAAUGAAGAAAAUAUCAGACAUGGAACUUUGUCCCUUUUCUGUGACAGAACAGCAAUAAAAACUUGUCACUCCUUCUGCCUGUUUGAAAGCAGUAGACAUUGAAAAGCAGCUGAAGCAUUUUAAACUAGCACUUCUAAACCCUACGGAAAUCUGCAUGUAGAGAGCUUGAAAUCCCUAUGCCACAUGGACUAUAUGGAUGCCUUUUCCCCCCCUGAAAAGGACGUUUGUACUAUUAUGGUUGCUCAGAAAAUAAGCAGGAUGUUUCCUAAAACUGCAAAAAAACAAGUAGACAAAUUUUAUUUAUGGUAUUCGUCUAUCUCAUAAUUUCUAAGUAAAUUUCUU